rnacentral:rRNA from 1 species
GAAUUGAUCUGGUCAGGAUGAACGCUAGCUACAGGCUUAACACAUGCAAGUCGAGGGGCAGCAUGAGAUUAGCUUGCUAAUCUUGAUGGCGACCGGCGCACGGGUGAGUAACGCGUAUCCAACCUUCCCCCUACUCAGGCAUAGCCCGGUGAAAACCGGAUUAACUCCUGAUAGUUUCACUAGAUGGCAUCUGACGGUGAAUAAAGCUCAGCGGUAAGGGAUGGGGAUGCGUCUGAUUAGCUUGUUGGCGGGGUAACGGCCCACCAAGGCGACGAUCAGUAGGGGUUCUGAGAGGAAGGUCCCCCACAUUGGAACUGAGACACGGUCCAAACUCCUACGGGAGGCAGCAGUGAGGAAUAUUGGUCAAUGGGCGCGAGCCUGAACCAGCCAAGUAGCCGUGCAGGAAGACGGCCCUAUGGGUUGUAAACUGCUUUUGUGCGGGAAUAAAGUCAGGGACGUGUCCCUGUUUGCAUGUACCGCAAGAAUAAGGACCGGCUAAUUCCGUGCCAGCCGCCGC